rnacentral:misc_RNA from 1 species
AUUCAUUCUUCAUUGCGAAAAAAGUGCCACAUAAUUUCUUUUGAUUUUUAAUAAAUAUUUGAAUUACCUACUUAACAUUUUACAUUUUAAGAAGUUUAUACGGUUCGUAACACACCUAAAACUUUAUUUAGCUGUGUUGUAUAUCAAAGGAAGUGUUGACAUAAACCGGCUUUUUGGUUAUGUUUACGUUAUCACUUCGAUGUUUACAAAGAAAUAUGAGUGUCUUACGCGUUUAAUCCGCAGUUACGUUGAAAAUGAGUGGAGAAAAGUCCGUGAUAUUGGUGACGGGAGGGUCUGGGCUCGUUGGACAGGCCAUAAAGCAGAUGGUUGAGGAUGAAAAGCUGCGGAAUACCGAGCAAUCAAAAAACGAAACAUGGGUGUUUUGUGGGUCCAAAGAUGGGGAUUUGAGAGACAAGACCAAAACCGAAGCUCUGUUUGAGAAGUACAAGCCGACACAUGUGAUCCACCUGGCUGCGAUGGUUGGUGGCCUCUUCCAUAACAUGGCACAUAACUUGGACUUCUUUAGAGAGAAUAUGGCGAUAAACGACAAUGUACUGCACACAAGCUACAAAUAUAAAGUAAAGAAGGUUGUCUCAUGUCUGUCUACCUGCAUCUUCCCUGAUAAGACCACAUACCCUAUAGAUGAGACCAUGGUGCAUAACGGUCCACCACAUGACUCCAACUAUGGUUACAGUUACGCCAAGAGGAUGAUUGAUAUUUUGAAUAGAGGCUACCACGACCAGCAUGGGUGCUGCUUCACGUCCGUGGUGCCGUGCAACGUAUUCGGUCCGCAUGACAACUUCCGCCUGGAGUCCUCGCACGUCAUCCCCGCGCUAAUUCGCCGCAUGGAUGAUGCUAUGAUAAAAGGCGAGCCUACGUUCACGGUGAUGGGAAGCGGGAAGCCCCUGCGCCAGUUCAUAUAUUCCCUGGACUUGGCUGCAUUGUUCCUGUGGACUUUGCGCAGCUAUGACAGCGUCGAGCCCAUCAUCUUAUCAGUGGACGAAGAAGACGAGGUAACGAUAUCAUCUGUGGCAGAAGCCAUACAGAAAGCUCACAAAUACCAAGGAGAGAUAAUAUACGACACUAGCAAAGCAGAUGGACAGUACAAGAAGACUGCCUCCAAUAAGAAACUCAGGAGAUUGUAUAAGGAUUUCAAGUUCACCCCGUUUGAACAGGCGAUAGAAGAAACCGUGGCUUGGUUUAAACGAAACAGGGAAACCGCUAGGACAUAGGAUGUCGAAAGGUAGGUACAAAGGGGGUAGUUCUUCGAACAACGGUGGUCAAUAUCGUAUACGCAAAAAUAUCCCAGAUUGUCUUGCAAAUAUCCAGUUAGAACGUACGUAUCGUCAUUGGAUGCUGUUAAAAGGAAAAGAGAAAGGAUUUCGGUAACAUUCCAGGGGCCUGUUUUAUAAAACUUACAAUUGUAAAUUACAAUGACAAUUUGAUGUACAUUGUGGAGUGUGUGAUCACGAAUAUUUUGCAGUUUCAUAUUAGCUACGCAAUGAACAUCAAAUUAACGUUGUAAUUUACAAUUGUAAGUUUUAUUAAACAGGCCCCAGAACUCUCUGGUUGAGUAGUUUGUGUAUGCGAUGUGACAUUGUCAAUCCGUCACAGUAUAUUGAAAACCACGUCAACGACUAUUUGAAAAAUCACGUUCGAUUGUGAUUUAUGCUUACGAAAAGUUUCAAUCCGGGUAAAAAAUGUUGGGUUAUUACAGUAAGCCAUCCGGUUCUAACUGGAUAUUUGCAAAAAGACAAAAGAUUCUAGGAUAUUUUUGCGUUAACGGUAAUGAUAUCAACUACCGCUGUUCGAAGACUCACUCAGGAGCAGUUAUUGCAAAUACAGGUUAAAAAUACUACAUAGAAUAAUGCUGCGUGUCCACUAAAGGGGCAUUGGAACGAAAGGCGCAUUUAGGGUGAAUUUCUAUCGCAGGGAGUGGAGUGCACAUGUGCAGGAAGCCACCAAUCACCACGAGGGAGAAAGCAAUAGGUGUAAUGCUCCCUGGCCACAUCACUAUUCAGUACACAAUUUCUAAUUAUAUUAAUGAAAUCUACCUAAUCUGUACCUUCACGUGUACACAAAGAAAUAAAUAGUACCUACUUCAAAGCAUUAAAAGAAAAAGAAUGUUAAACGGGGUCCGACCAGGGAGUUGUUCUCCCCCGCGCUACCGUGAGUCUCCUUUACGAAGUAUGGGCCAAUGUCGAUUAUCUAAGCGUUUGACACGUUGACAGUCCAAUGAUCCAUAUACGCGUCAUGACGCACUAGCUCCAUACGUCCGUAACCCAUACAUGGGUCACUAAGAAACGGUUAUUUACGCCCUAAGGGUGGGUGCUCCACUUGGAUCGAGCUAAGGUUGUAGUAGUAUGCAGGACUUUCAAGGAAGUCAAAACAUUUUGUAUGGGGACUGUCAAUUUCAAACAACAAAUCUUCAACAAAUACUGUUCUGCUAUUUCAGUACCUUCUAUCUUCGUGUUAUAAACUUUUUAAAAUGUCGCCAGGCUACAAUUUUACGUUAUUAUUAUAUUUUAAUUAUAGUUACAUAUCUAUUGUUUAGAAAUAAAAAUUCAACUAUAUAAUA